rnacentral:rRNA from 1 species
UAGCAUAUCAUAAGCGGAGGAAAAGAAACUAACAAGGAUUCCCCUAGUAACUGCGAGUGAAGCGGGAAAAGCUCAAAUUUAAAAUCUGGCGUCCUCGGGCGUCCGAGUUGUAGUUUAGAGAAGUGCUUUCCGCGCAGGACCGUGUACAAGUCUCCUGGAACGGAGCGUCAUAGAGGGUGAGAAUCCCGUCUUUGACACGGACCCCCUGUGCUCUGUGAUGCGCUCUCGAAGAGUCGAGUUGUUUGGGAAUGCAGCUCAAAAUGGGUGGUGAACUCCAUCUAAAGCUAAAUAUUGGCGAGAGACCGAUAGCGAACAAGUACCGUGAGGGAAAGAUGAAAAGCACUUUGGAAAGAGAGUUAAACAGUACGUGAAAUUGUUGAAAGGGAAACGCUUGAAGUCAGUCGCGUCCGCCGGGACUCAGCCUUGCUUUCGCUUGGUGUACUUCCUGGUGGACGGGCCAGCAUCACUUUUGAUCGCCGGAAAAGGACGGGGGAAAUGUGGCACCCUCGGGUGUGUUAUAGUCCCCCGUCGUAUACGGUGGUUGGGAGUGAGGAACUCAGCACGCCUCACGGUCGGGGUUCGCCCACGUUCGUGCUUAGGAUGCUGGCGUAAUGGCUUUAAACGACCCGUCUUGAAACACGGACCAAGGAGUCUAACAUGCCCGCGAGUGUUCGGGUGGAAAACCCGUGCGCGUAAUGAAAGUGAAAGUUGGGACCUCUGUCGUGGAGGGCACCGACGCCCGGACCAGACCUUCUGUGACGGCUCCGAGGUAGAGCGUGUAUGUUGGGACCCGAAAGAUGGUGAACUAUGCCUGAAUAGGGUGAAGCCAGAGGAAACUCUGGUGGAGGCUCGUAGCGAUUCUGACGUGCAAAUCGAUCGUCAAAUUUGGGUAUAGGGGCGAAAGACUAAUCGAACCAUCUAGUAGCUGGUUCCUGCGAU